GAUGAACGCUGGCGGCGUGCCUAAUACAUGCAAGUCGAGCGAACGGACGCGAAGCUUGCUUCUCUGAUGUUAGCGGCGGACGGGUGAAUAACACGUGGAUGACCUACCUAUAUGACUGGUAUAACUUCGGGAAACCGGAGCUCAUACCGGAUAAUAUUUUGAUACUCAUUGUUCCAUAGUGAAAGACGGUCUUGCUGUCGCUUAUCAAUGGUUGCGCGCUGCAUUAGCUAGUUGGUAAGGUAAAGGCUUACCAAGUAAACGAUGCAUAGCCGACCUGAGAGGGUGAUCGGCAACACUGGAACUGAGACACGGUCCAGACUCCUACGGGAGGCAGCAGUAGGGAAUCUUCCGCAAUGGGCGAAAGCCUGACGGAGCAACGCCGCGUGAGUGAUGAAGGUCUUCGGAUCGUAAAACUCUGUUAUUAGGGAAGAACAUAUGUGUAAGUAACUGUGCACAUCUUGACGGUACCUAAUCAGAAAGCCACGGCUAACUACGUG
rnacentral:rRNA from 1 species